UUCUUCAGGGCAGGGUGAGAUUCCCGACCGGCGGUCAAAGUCCGCGAGCGCAAAUGCGCACGAUUCGGUGUGAUUCCGAAACCGACAGUACAGUCUGGAUGGAAGAAGGCA
rnacentral:ncRNA from 1 species